rnacentral:tRNA from 1 species
AUUCCCAUAGUUGAAAACAACAGCAGCUUUUCACGCCGCAAGUUUGGGUUAGACCCCCAAUGAGAAUU